rnacentral:rRNA from 1 species
ACGCUCGACACCUACGGGGGGCAGCAGUGGGGAAUAUUGCACAAUGGGGGAAACCCGUGAUGCAGCGACGCCGCGUGAGCGAAGAAGUAUUUCGGUAUGUAAAGCUCUAUCAGCAGGGAAGAAGAAAGACGGUACCUGACUAAGAAGCCCCGGCUAACUACGUGCCAGCAGCCACGGUAAUCUGAGCGGGCUGGCAAGGC